UACAGAGGUCCCAAGCGUUGUUCGGAUUCACUGGGCGUAAAGCGUGCGCAGGCGGUUUUGUAAGCCAGAUGUGAAAUCCCCGGGCUCAACCUGGGAAUGGCAUUUGGGACUGCAAGGCUGGAGUUUGGCAGAGGAGACUGGAAUUCCCGGUGUAGCAGUGAAAUGCGUAGAUAUCGGGAGGAAUACCGAUGGCGAAGGCAGGUCUCUGGGCUAUAACUGACGCUCAUGCACGAAAGCGUGGGGAGCAAACAGG
rnacentral:rRNA from 1 species